rnacentral:rRNA from 1 species
UACGUAGGGGGCAAGCGUUGUCCGGAAUCAUUGGGCGUAAAGAGCGUGUAGGCGGCUUGUUAAGUCUUGCGUGAAAUCUCGGGGCUCAACCCCGAGCGGUCGUGAGAAACUGGCAGGCUAGAGUGCGGGAGAGGAGAGUGGAAUUCCUGGUGUAGCGGUGAAAUGCGCAGAUAUCAGGAAGAACACCCGUGGCGAAGGCGGCUCUCUGGAACGCAACUGACGCUGAGACGCGAAAGCGUGGGGAGCAAACAGG